UACAGAGGGCGCAAGCGUUGUUCGGAAUUACUGGGCGUAAAGGGCGCGUAGGCGGGUCGUGCAAGCGUGCGGGGAAAGCCCGGGGCUCAACCCCGGGUCGGCCGUGCGGACUGCGGGGCUCGAGCACUGUAGGGGCAGGUGGAAUUCCGGGUGUAGCGGUGGAAUGCGUAGAGAUCCGGAAGAACACCAGUGGCGAAGGCGGUCUGCUGGGCAGUAACUGACGCUGAGGCGCGACAGCGUGGGGAGCAAACAGG
rnacentral:rRNA from 1 species